GAUGAACGCUGGCGGCGUGCCUAACACAUGCAAGUCGAACGGAGUCCAGCCUUAGAGACCUUCGGGUCAAAGAGGGGAAGACUGAGUGGCGGACGGGUGAGUAACACGUGGGCAACCUGGCUCAUAGAGGGGGAUAACAGAGAGAAAUUUCUGCUAAUACCGCAUAAGCACACACUGCCGCAUGGCAGAGUGUGAAAAGAGAAUCGCUAUGAGAUGGACCCGCGUCUGAUUAGCCAGUUGGCAGGGUAAGAGCCUACCAAAGCGACGAUCAGUAGCCGAUUUGAGAGGAUGAACGGCCACAUUGGGACUGAGACACGGCCCAAACUCCUACGGGAGGCAGCAGUGGGGGAUAUUGCACAAUGGGGGGAACCCUGAUGCAGCAACGCCGCGUGAGUGAUGAAGGUCUUCGGAUCGUAAAACUCUGUUAUUAGGGAAGAACAAAUGUGUAAGUAACUAUGCACGUCUUGACGGUACCUAAUCAGAAAGCCACGGCUAACUACGUG
rnacentral:rRNA from 1 species